rnacentral:rRNA from 1 species
UACGGGGGGGGCAAGCGCUGUUCGGAAUUACUGGGCGUAAAGGGCGCGUAGGCGGCCUGCUAAGUCGGACGUGAAAUCCCCCGGCUCAACCGAGGAACUGCGUCCGAUACUGGUGGGCUCGAAUCCGGGAGAGGGAUGUGGAAUUCCAGGUGUAGCGGUGAAAUGCGUAGAUAUCUGGAGGAACACCGGUGGCGAAGGCGGCAUCCUGGACCGGUAUUGACGCUGGGGCGCGAAAGCCAGGGGAGCAAACGGG